UCAUACUUUCAAACAUACCUUAAUAUAUUGCUACGCAGUAGGCAAUUUCCCCCUAAGCAAACAAAAUAACUCCAUAAAUAAUGGAAGAACAUAUGUGACCUAACGAUUGAUAACUCCAUAAAUUUAUGAAAGAAACUAUUUUUCAAUACUUGCUCUAAUUGCAAAUUACUCCAUGAAAAAUGGAAGAACAUUUCUAAGCUUUCCUAAUCUAACUUAUUCACGCAUUCAUUGAACGCACUCAUUCUUAUCGUUUCGGAAAUCACUUGAGCUAUUGCAUAAAUGUAGGCGCUGUAUAAAAGCUUUUUCGAAUACCGCGUUGAAUCAUAUGGGUGGUAACUAUCUUGUUAUGAUCUGUGUUGGAUGGUAACGGGUGGUUUUUCGUACUAGUUUGUUUACUUCAUAAGUGAUCUGUCAAGUUAAAGUGAGUUUUUCCUAAUUGUACCGGAUAUCAUUGUCGUAUAAACGAGCGGAAACUGUGGAAAACGGGAAAUAGUUUAUAAAAUAUUUGCGACCGGAGAUGCUUUUUUAUUCAAGUGACCUAUCAGCUGUGCUGUAUAAUACGAAUUGUAUCUGAUAAAGACUUGAAAGAUGUAGUAUUUCAUGCGAUUGGAGAUACCGAUUAGUACUCUAUGGAUGAUUGUAAGGAAAGAAAGGUAGAGGCGGCUGAAAUAUUGUGGAACUGACGAAGGAUUUUAUUAUCUGGAGAUGCGAAACGACUGGAUAUUGAGAUUCGAUGGAACGAUUGACUGAAUUUUUGGAGAGAUACUACGCUAUUAUGUACAGAUUGGUGAUUAAUCUACGUGGGAUAUUUAAUCAUGGUAAGCGAAUUAGUUUCAAUUAUUUUUGCGGACUAUUCUUACUUAACAUACUAACCUAUUGAUAUUAAUGACAUUAUUUUUAUGGAGAUAAUAAUGUAUUUUUUUCUUUCUUUUUGAGCUAGGUGUCGCGGAGGAUGAAACUACAACAUCGACUACAAUAUUUGACUAGUUGAUCGUUUUAUUAACGUUUUUCUCUUUUUAGGUAGACGAUAUCCUACUCGAGCAACCUAUCGUAGAUGGAUGGCGACGCUACGUAAUAUGAUGACCACUAGGGUGUUUUUAGUUCUCUGGUUUCUUCGAGCUCAUUAGCACUAAUAGGAACAGGCUUACUUGCUGGCCAGCUGGCACGUGGUUCCAACGACGGAAGAGUUUCGAUGUCGUCGUUGUCGGAGCUUUUCGGUUUUGGUUCCAAUCGCCGUAUUCUAGAGC